UCGGAUAUGGUGUAACGGCUAACAUUGCCGCCUCUCAUUGACAACUAUGGCGAGAUCCAUAAAGUGCGCGGCAGCUCGGGGUUCGAUUCCCCGUAUCCGAA